rnacentral:sRNA from 1 species
AAGAGCAGGCUCGAAUCGCCGUAGGAAUAGAAGCGGUAACCCGUUGCGAUCGCGUGGGCAUAGGCCGCGUGCAUCGUUUCGAGCCCCGCAAACGCCGAGACCAGCAUGAACAGGGUCGAUUUC